rnacentral:rRNA from 1 species
GACGAACGCUGGCGGCGUGCUUAACACAUGCGAGUCGAACGAAGAGCGAUGGAAGCUUGCUUCUAUCAAUCUUAGUGGCGAACGGGUGAGUAACGCGUAAUCAACCUGCCCUUCAGAGGGGGACAACAGUUGGAAACGACUGCUAAUACCGCAUACGAUCUAACCUCGGCAUCGAGGAUAGAUGAAAGGUGGCCUCUACAUGUAAGCUAUCACUGAAGGAGGGGAUUGCGUCUGAUUAGCUAGUUGGAGGGGUAACGGCCCACCAAGGCGAUGAUCAGUAGCCGGUCUGAGAGGAUGAACGGCCACAUUGGGACUGAGACACGGCCCAGACUCCUACGGGAGGCAGCAGUGGGGAAUCUUCCGCAAUGGACGAAAGUCUGACGGAGCAACGCCGCGUGAGUGAUGACGGCCUUCGGGUUGUAAAGCUCUGUUAAUCGGGACGAAAGGCCUUCUUGCGAAUAGUUAGAAGGAUUGACGGUACCGGAAUAGAAAGCCACGGCUAACUACGUG